GAUGAACGCUGGCGGCGUGCCUAAUACAUGCAAGUCGAGCGAACAGACGAGGAGCUUGCUCCUCUGACGUUAGCGGCGGACGGGUGAGUAACACGUGGAUAACCUACCUAUAAGACUGGGAUAACUUCGGGAAACCGGAGCUAAUACCGGAUAACAUGUUGAACCGCAUGGUUCAACAGUGAAAGACGGUCUUGCUGUCACUUAUAGCUGGAUCCGCGCCGCAUUAGCUAGUUGGUAAGGUAACGGCUUACCAAGGCAACGAUGCGUAGCCGACCUGAGAGGGUGAUCGGCCACACUGGAACUGAGACACGGUCCAGACUCCUACGGGAGGCAGCAGUAGGAAAUCUUCCGCAAUGGGCGAAAGCCUGACGGAGCAACGCCGCGUGAGUGAAGAAGGUCUUCGGAUCGUAAAACUCUGUUAUUAGGGAAGAACAAAUGUGUAAGUAACUAUGCACGUCUUGACGGUACCUAAUCAGAAAGCCACGGCUAACUACGUG
rnacentral:rRNA from 1 species